UAUCACAAGAAAAAUGGAAGGAAAGUUCUAAAAAUCAGACCUAAACAAAGUAAUCAUAUGGUAAGCGUAACACAUAGUCGUGUACUCACAACUGUUAUUAUACAAGCAAAUUAAUUAAACAGCAUGAACGUGAUACAUAUGAUAUUUGCCUACUAAAGGGAAAAGCUCGGAACAACAGUUCAUUCAAUCAGCAGUACAACCAAAAGAAAACGAAACAUGCCUUUGAAAUUGAAAUUGAAUCGAGCUCGGAAUACUGGAACAGGACAGCAGCAUCUUCGACACUUCGUUUGCCCAGAAUUUGUAAGGAGUGAGGAAUCGAAUCGAGCUGGGAAUCGCCGCCUACAAUCCUAAAUUAGUUUGAUGCAGAAAAUCAGAAAUUAAAACUCAAAAAAAAAACCUCAGAGAGUAGUCGAGUACUGGGAUGAGAUCAUGAGAAUGAGAUGAGACUUACAAAACUUACAAAAGUAGUAAAGUUAACCGGUGAAGAUGAGAUGAGACUCGAGCUCGAAUGUUGACUGAUCGUAACUCGAUUCGCAGACUGAUAUCCUAGAGUCGCAGUCGAUUCUCGUCUUCUUCUUCUCGUUCUCGAGAUAUCUCCUAAGCAGUAAGCACUAAAGACUGAAGCAAUAAGCAAACCCUAUCUCGAUGAUAUCUCCCAUUGGGCAAACGAAGUGUCGA
rnacentral:lncRNA from 1 species